CUCCUGUGAUGACUGAUGCUUUGUGCCACGUGUCUGGGCCACUGAAUGAUCGUGAUGGCUUUGAGGAUCUGAUGGAG
rnacentral:snoRNA from 13 species